UACGAAGGGGGCUAGCGUUGUUCGGAAUUACUGGGCGUAAAGCGCGCGCAGGCGGUCUUCCAAGUCAGUGGUGAAAGCCCGGAGCUCAACUCCGGAACUGCCAUUGAAACUGUGAGACUUGAGGACGAGAGAGGUGAGUGGAAUUCCCAGUGUAGAGGUGAAAUUCGUAGAUAUUGGGAAGAACACCGGUGGCGAAGGCGGCUCACUGGCUCGGUACUGACGCUGAGGUGCGAAAGCGUGGGGAGCAAACAGG
rnacentral:rRNA from 1 species